rnacentral:rRNA from 1 species
GUGGGGAAUAUUGGGCAAUGGGGGCAACCCUGACCCAGCAACGCCGCGUGAGGGAAGAAGGUUUUCGGAUUGUAAACCUCUGUCCUAUGGGAAGAAGGAAGUGACGGUACCAUAGGAGGAAGCCCCGGCUAACUACGUGCCAGCAGCCGCGGUAAUACGUAGGGGGCGAGCGUUGUCCGGAAUUACUGGGCGUAAAGGGUGCGCAGGUGGCCUGACAAGUCAGAUGUGAAAUACCGAUGCUUAACGUCGGGGCUGCAUUUGAAACUAUGAGGCUGGAGUGAAGGAGAGGGAAGCGGAAUUCCUAGUGUAGCGGUGAAAUGCAUAGAUAUUAGGAGGAACACCAGUGGCGAAGGCGGCUUACUGGACUGUAACUGACGUUGAGGCUCGAAAGCGUGGGGAGCAAACAGGAUUAGAAACCCGUGUAGUCC